AUUGAACGCUAGCGGGAUGCUUUACACAUGCAAGUCGAACGGCCGCGCGGACUUCGGUCUGGCGGCGAGUGGCGAACGGGUGGGUAAUGUAUCGGAACGUGCCCAGUAGCGGGGGAUAACUACGCGAAAGCGUAGCUAAUACCGCAUCCGCCCUUCGGUGGAACGCAGGGGAUCGUAAGACCUUGCCCUAUUUGAGCUGCCGAUAUCGGAUUAGCUAGUUGGUGAGGUAACGGCUCACCAAGGCGACGAUCCAUAGCAGGUGUGAGAGGCCGACCAGCCACACUGGGACUGAGACACGGCCCAGACUCCUACGGGAGGCAGCAGUGGGGAAUUUUGGACAAUGGGGGCAAGCCUGAUCCAGCCAUCCCGCGUGUGUGAUGAAGGCCUUCGGGUUGUAAAGCACUUUUGGCAGGAAAGAAACGACGCGGGCUAAUACCCCGUGGAACUGACGGUACCUGCAGAAUAAGCACCGGCUAACUACGUG
rnacentral:rRNA from 1 species